AACGAACGCUGGCGGCAGGCCUAACACAUGCAAGUCGAGCGCGCCCUUCGGGGUUAGCGGCGGACGGGUGAGUAACGCGUGGGAACGUGCCCUUUUCUACGGAAUAGCCUCGGGAAACUGAGAGUAAUACCGUAUACGCCCUUUGGGGGUAAGAUUUAUCGGAAAAGGAUCGGCCCGCGUUGGAUUAGGUAGUUGGUGGGGUAAUGGCCUACCAAGCCGACGAUCCAUAGCUGGUUUGAGAGGAUGAUCAGCCACACUGGGACUGAGACACGGCCCAGACUCCUACGGGAAGCAGCAGUGGGGAAUCUUAGACAAUGGGGGCAACCCUGAUCUAGCCAUGCCGCGUGAGUGAUGAAGGCCUUAGGGUUGUAAAGCUCUUUCAGCUGGGAAGAUAAUGACGGUACCAGCAGAAGAAGCCCCGGCUAACUCCGUG
rnacentral:rRNA from 1 species